AGGGGAGCCUCCCUGAACACUUCCCAAAGGACCCCAGUCACCCCAGCCUGUUGGCUGCAGCUAACUCUGAUGUCAGCCAGCCAGAUGAGGCCGGGAGAUGAGCACAGAGUCCGGAUGGAUACAUCAUGCCCUCUGUGCCCAGCACUGGGCUUUGUGCACGUGGGACCAGACGUGCCACUGUUUGAGAGCAUAGAGAAGGGAAUAGCUCUGGAGCCCUGACCGCACAUAACCUCACUUUCCUGUACCCGCCCCGCAAAUACCGCGCGGGCGUGUGUGUCUCCUGGCAGAGGGGGCCGAUAGUCGGCUCGUAGCGGUGAGGAGCGCAGAGGCUUGGGGCAGCCGGGCUGCGACGAGGCUGCGGCGUUGGGGGGCGAGUGGAGCCGGCGGCAGCGGCGCUCGGUCGGGAGACGCAUCGAAGAGGCGGACGGACCGGCGGGGUCACCGGCCAGGGGUCUCCGCACUGGAAUUUGAUAUUCAUUUAUCCAGGGUUUACCCUCCUCCUUUUUUUCUGAAACAUUUUUUUUUAACCGUAUUCUUUUCCGUUUUAAUUUAUUUUUGCUUCCCAUUCCCCACUAAAUCGGGCCGACCGUUUGGGGAGAUUGCUCUUUUACUCCCCCCCAAAAUCNNNNNNNNNNNNNNNNNNNNNNNNNNNAGAAAGAGGGUAGCAAGAGCUCCAAAGAGAAGUGAAGGAAGAGAGAGAGACCGGGUCAGAGAGCGCGCGCUGACGAGCGAGACACGAGAGGGACAGGGGCAAAGUGAGUGACCUGUUUUUUGGGGGUGACCGCCAGAGCGCAGCGUGAGCCCUCCCCCUCGGGAUCCCGCGUCGGACCAGCAGCGCUGACGGACAGACAGACAGACACCGCCCCCUGCCCCAGCGCCCACCUCCUCCCCGGCCGGCGGCCGACGGUGGACGCGGCGGCGAGCCGCGGGCAGGAGCCGGAGCCCGCGCCCGGAGGCGGGGUGGAGGGGGUCGGGGCUCGCGACGUUGCCCUGAAACUUUUCGU
rnacentral:lncRNA from 1 species